UCCCCGUUGCCGGGGCAGUCUCUUCAGAAAAAUACAACUGAAGACAAGGGUUGCGCCCGUUGAUGGACUUAACCAAACAUCUCACGACACGAGCUGACGACGGCCAUGCAAGAUCUGUCACCGAGUUCAAUAAAGCACUCACGCCUUUCGGCAUAAUUCUCGGGAUGUCAAGCCCUGGUAAGGUUCUUCGUUUAUCAUCGAAUUAAAGAACACAAUCCACCGCUUGUGCGGGUCCCCGUCAAUUCCUUUAUGUUUUAGUCUUGCGACCGUACUCCACAGGCGGGAUACUUAACGCGUUAGCUUCGCUACUGAAGGGGUCGAUACCUCCAACAGCUAGUAUCCAUCGUUUACGGCGUGGACUA
rnacentral:misc_RNA from 1 species